rnacentral:rRNA from 1 species
GAUUUCUGGCGACGUACAUCUGACCCGCCACGGUUACGUGUGUGAGUGUUGGUAUGUACCUGCCAUCCUUGUAGAUGCAGUGACUACCCUUCAUUGGGCCGGACACGCGUGUUCUACAUCUUUUACUUUGAAAAAAUUAGAGUGUUUCAAGCAGGCAUCUUGCUUUGAAUACAUUAGCAUGGAAUAAUAAUCUAGGACUCUCGGUCUUAUUUUGUUGGUUUCUAGGGCUGAAGUAAUGAUUGAUAGGGAUAGUUGGGGGUGCUAGUAUUCAGUGGCCAGAGGUGAAAUUCUCGGAUUCCCUGAAGACUCACUUAUGCGAAAGCAUU